rnacentral:rRNA from 1 species
AUUGAACGCUGGCGGCAGGCCUAACACAUGCAAGUCGAGCGGAUGAAGGGAGCUUGCUCCUGGAUUCAGCGGCGGACGGGUGAGUAAUGCCUAGGAAUCUGCCUGGUAGUGGGGGAUAACGUCCGGAAACGGGCGCUAAUACUGCAUACGUCCUGAGGGAGAAAGAGGGGGAUCUUCGGACCUCACGCUCUCAGAUGAGCCUAGGUCGGAUUAGCUAGUUGGUGGGGUAAAGGCCUACCAAGGCGACGAUCCGUAACUGGUCUGAGUGGAUGAUCAGUCACACUGGAACUGAGACACGGACCAGACUCCUACGGGAGGCAGCAGUGGGGAAUAUUGGACAAUGGGCGAAAGCCUGAUCCAGCCAGGCCGCGUGUGUGAAGAAGGUCUUCGGAGUGUAAAGCACUUUAAGUUGUGAGGAAGGGCAGUAAGUUAAUACCUUGCUGUUUUGACGUUACCAACAGAAUAAGCACCGGCUAACUUCGUG